GCAGCCGCGGUAAUACGGAGGAUCCAAGCGUUAUCCGGAUUUAUUGGGUUUAAAGGGUGCGUAGGCGGUUUUAUAAGUUAGAGGUUAAAUGUCAGGGCUCAACUCUGGCCUGCCUCUAAUACUGUAGGACUAGAGAGUAGAUGCGGUAGGCGGAAUGUAUGGUGUAGCGGUGAAAUGCGUAGAGAUCAUACAGAACACCGAUUGCGAAGGCAGCUUACCAAACUAUAUCUGACGUUGAGGCACGAAAGCGUGGGUAGCAAACAGGAUUAGAUACCCC
rnacentral:rRNA from 1 species